rnacentral:rRNA from 1 species
UCCAGACUCCUACGGGAGGCAGCAGUGGGGAAUAUUGCACAAUGGGGGAAACCCUGAUGCAGCGACGCCGCGUGGGUGAAGGAGUGCUUCGGCAUGUAAAGCCCUAUCGGCAGGGAAGAAGCAAGACGGUACCUGACUAAGAAGCCCCGGCUAACUACGUGCCAGCAGCCGCGGUAAUACGUAGGGGGCGAGCGUUAUCCGGAUUUACUGGGUGUAAAGGGAGCGUAGACGGCUGUGCAAGCCAGAUGUGAAAGCCCGGGGCUCAACCCCGGGACUGCAUUUGGAACUGUGUGGCUGGAGUGUCGGAGAGGCAGGCGGAAUUCCUAGUGUAGCGGUGAAAUGCGUAGAUAUUAGGAGGAACAUCAGUGGCGAAGGCGGCUUGCUGGACGAAAACUGACGUUGAGGCUCGAAAGCGUGGGGAGCAAACAGGAUUAGAUACCCGAGUA